UACGUAGGGUGCAGGCGUUAAUCGGAAUUACUGGGCGUAAAGCGUGCGCAGGCGGUUUCUUAAGUCAGAUGUGAAAGCCCCGGGCUUAACCUGGGAACUGCGUUUGAAACUGGGAGACUUGAGUGUGGCAGAGGGGGGUGGAAUUCCACGUGUAGCAGUGGAAUGCGUAGAUAUGUGGAGGAACACCAAUGGCGAAGGCAGCCCCCUGGGUCAACACUGACGCUCAUGCACGAAAGCGUGGGGAGCAAACAGG
rnacentral:rRNA from 1 species